GCCGGGCAUGGUGGCACGUGCCUGUGAUCCCAGCUACUCAGGAGGCUGAGGCAGGAGAAUCACUUGAACCUGGGAGGUGGAGGUUGCAGUGAGUGGAGAUUGCGCCACUGCACUCCAGCCUGGGUGACAGAGUGAGACCCUGUCUCAA
rnacentral:sRNA from 1 species